GGACGAACGCUGGCGGUAUGCUUAACACAUGCAAGUCGAACGAGAAGGAAGAGCUUGCUCUUCCUGAAAGUGGCGAACGGGUGAGUAACGCGUGGGUAACCUACCCUUUGGAAAGGAAUAGCCUCGGGAAACUGGGAGUAAUGCCUUAUAAGAUACGUUUGUCGCAUGGCAUUUGUAUUAAACGCUCCGGCGCCAUAGGAUGGACCCGCGUCCCAUUAGCUAGUUGGUGAGAUAACAGCUCACCAAGGCCACGAUGGGUAACCGGUCUGAGAGGGCGAACGGUCACACUGGAACUGAGACACGGUCCAGACUCCUACGGGAGGCAGCAGUGGGGAAUAUUGCGCAAUGGGGGCAACCCUGACGCAGCAAUACCGCGUGAGUGAAGAAGGUUUUCGGAUCGUAAAGCUCUGUUAUUGGGGAAGAAAAAAAGACGGUACCCAAGAAGAAAGUUCCGGCUAACUACGUGCCAGCAGCCGCGGUAAUACGUAGGGAACAAGCGUUGUCCGGAUUUACUGGGCGUAAAGGGCACGCAGGCGGUUUUUUAAGUCAGAUGUGAAAGGCCACAGCUCAACUGUGGACAUGCAUUCGAAACUGAAAGACUUGAGUAUUGGAGAGGCAAGUGGAAUUCCUAGUGUAGCGGUGAAAUGCGUAGAUAUUAGGAGGAACACCGGUGGCGAAGGCGGCUUGCUGGACAAAUACUGACGCUGAGGACGAACGCUGGCGGUAUGCUUAACACAUGCAAGUCGAACGAGAAGGAAGAGCUUGCUCUUCCUGAAAGUGGCGAACGGGUGAGUAACGCGUGGGUAACCUACCCUUUGGAAAGGAAUAGCCUCGGGAAACUGGGAGUAAUGCCUUAUAAGAUACGUUUGUCGCAUGGCAUUUGUAUUAAACGCUCCGGCGCCAUAGGAUGGACCCGCGUCCCAUUAGCUAGUUGGUGAGAUAACAGCUCACCAAGGCCACGAUGGGUAACCGGUCUGAGAGGGCGAACGGUCACACUGGAACUGAGACACGGUCCAGACUCCUACGGGAGGCAGCAGUGGGGAAUAUUGCGCAAUGGGGGCAACCCUGACGCAGCAAUACCGCGUGAGUGAAGAAGGUUUUCGGAUCGUAAAGCUCUGUUAUUGGGGAAGAAAAAAAGACGGUACCCAAGAAGAAAGUUCCGGCUAACUACGUGCCAGCAGCCGCGGUAAUACGUAGGGAACAAGCGUUGUCCGGAUUUACUGGGCGUAAAGGGCACGCAGGCGGUUUUUUAAGUCAGAUGUGAAAGGCCACAGCUCAACUGUGGACAUGCAUUCGAAACUGAAAGACUUGAGUAUUGGAGAGGCAAGUGGAAUUCCUAGUGUAGCGGUGAAAUGCGUAGAUAUUAGGAGGAACACCGGUGGCGAAGGCGGCUUGCUGGACAAAUACUGACGCUGA
rnacentral:rRNA from 1 species